rnacentral:tRNA from 1 species
GAGAGUUGGCCGAGCUGGUCUAAGGCGCAUGAUUGGAAAUCAUGUAUAGGUUAACACCUAUCGAGGGUUCGAAUCCCUCAUUCUCC